UUAAGUGAUACAAACAUUGGGCAAAAAGCUCUAAGAAGACUUGAACCAAACUGAAAGAAAACAAUCACAUUUGAUGAUGGGGUUUGCAGUGGGAGCCUCUCCCCCUUUACAUUUUCCAUCUUCUUCACAACCCCUUUUCUUCAAUUUUUGCCAUACAAAGCCCCAUGAUUUCACUAAAACAAGAAAAGUCUACGCUUGUAUACAACCCAAUGAACCAAACGACGACGUUUUCUGCCACAGAAGAGCGAUUCUUUUCAUGGGUAUUUCUGUUCUUCCGUUCUUGAAUUUAAAGGCAAAAGCUUUUGAAAAUCUUGCUCCUCAUGAAUCCGAAAAUUCUGCAAGAGCACAAGCACUUGAUCAAAUAGCAGAGGCAUCAACUCAAGGAAAUGCGUCAUCAAACCCCUUUGUUACCCUUUCGAGCGGACUUGGAAUAAUUGCUUCAGGCGUUCUUGGUGCUUUUUAUGCAAUGGCCCAGAAGGAAAAGUCGGCCAACGUUGCUACAAUAGAAUCUAUGAAAGCCGCUCUGGCGGAAAAGGAAGCUGCAAUUGUUUCAACGCAAAAAAGUUACGAUUCAAAACUACAGGAAUUAAAGGAAGAAAAAAACAAGCAAAUAAAAACGUCAAAUCAAGAAAAGCAGUCUUUAACGAGUCAAUUAACUUCAGCAAAUAACACCGUUAAGGGCUUAGGACAAGAGCUUCGAAACGAGAAACAAAUAAUCCAAGAACUCGAAAACCAGAUUGACCGUCUUAAAGUUGACCUAAAAAAAGCUUCAGAUGAUAAAGAAACGCUUAAAACGCAGCUUAAAGAUAAGCUUUUUUCGAUCGAUGUUCUGCAAGGAAGGAUAAAGUUGCUUGAAUCUGAGAUUAAAGAUAAAGAAGACGAUCUUGCAAAUGUCGGUUCUGCCCUCGCUGUUAAGGAAACGGAGUUUAAGAAACUGAGUUCUAUGUAUGAAGAAACUGUGGCUGAGUUGACCGAGUCAAAGUCGAAGAUUGAAAAGCUGAAAGAAGAGAUUUUUAAGCUUGAGAAAGAACUAGAAUUGAAAAGUUCGAAUCUUGAUGAUCUGAAUGCCGAAAUUCGUUCUUUACGUAAUGAAAAAGACGCGCUUUCCCGAGAAUUGGACUCUUUUAGAAAUCGGUACGAUGAGUUAACGAUUUAUUCCGAAAAGCAGGCGGAUUCUGAUGCUAAGCUUCUGGAAGAAAGUGGAAAGAAACUCGAAGAACUUGAAGAAAAGCUCAAGUUGACUUUGACUGAAUUGGUCAAAAAAGAAGAAUUGGUCAACGAGUUGACCUAUAAAAGAGAUGGUUUAAGGAAGACGUUGGAUGAUGAACUGAAAAAAGUCUUAAGUCUUGAAAACGAGCGUCAGGUCGUACAUAAAACGCUAGAUGACACGAGAAACGAGGCUGCUGAGCUGGCUGGACUUCUAGAUCGUUCUCAGCAUACAUGCAAAAACCUCGAGGAAGAACUUUCUAGAGUUCAAAUCGAGUUUUCCGAAUCUAGAACCGCAUUACAGAAAAACAUCGAUAGUUUGAAACAAACUGCCGAAAUGUUAACUAACGAGCUCGGGUCAACUAAAGAUGCUUAUGCAAAAACAAAGGAAGAAUUAAACCGAGUGUUGGUUGAAAUUCAAGAAAUAUCAGAAAGCCGUGACAGUUUAAAGAAAGAAUUAGUGGAGACGUAUAAAAAGCUUGAAAACGCAAUUCACGAAGUUAAACAAGAGAAGGAAAACGUCGGUUCUUUGACCAAAGAAGUCAACUCAUUAAAAUCCAAGAUUUCAGAAGACCAAGAGUCAAGAAAGUCAAUGGAAAACGAUCUGGAAGAAGCAACGAAAGCGCUUGAUGAGAUGAAUCAAAGGACCAAGAUUCUAACGCAGGAAUUGGAGGUUUCGAAAACCAAGAUUUCCGGGCUUGAAGGCGAAAAAGAAGUUUUGUACAAAUCGCUUGAUGAACAAAAACGGGCCGUUCAAGAAGCCCGAGAAAACAUCGAGGAUGCUCAUAGUAUGAUUAUGAAGUUGGGGAAAGAGCGGGAAAAUUUGGAUAAGAAAGGAAACAAGCUCGAGAAGGAACUAGCGGCUGCGAAAGGCGAGAUUUUGAGAUUAAGAAACGAAGCGAGUGAUUCGAAACCUGCGAAUAAGGUGAACAAGAAUGGAGAUGAAGAAAGUGCAGAAGAUGUAAGCAGUAAUGAAAGUGGAAGUGAAGAUGAAAAAGCACCUGGUGUGAAGAAAGUUAGGAGGAGGAGGAGAAAGGUGGUAUCACAACAGAAUGAAUCUUGAGGAUUGGUGGUGAUUUGGGGAUUGAUUAGAAGUUGAGGGGGGUGUUUGUAAUAUUUGAUUCUUGGAGGGUAGAUUGUAGAAGUAGCAUUUGUAACUUUCAUGUUAAAAAUAAAACAUAAAAUGUUGAAACACCCUUUUGUGGAUAUAGGGGUGUGAACCGGUUUAAAACCGGAUCGAACUGAGUUGUAAUGAAUUUGAUUUUUUUGGAACCG